UCCCUGGUGGCUUAGAUGGUAAAGAAUCUGCCUGCAAUGCAAGAGACCCAGGUUUGAUCCCUGGCUUGGGAG
rnacentral:tRNA from 1 species